GACAGAGGGUGCAAACGUUGCUCGGAAUUACUGGGCGUAAAGCGCGUGUAGGCUGACCUUCAAGUCGGACGUGAAAUCCCUGAGCUCAACUCAGGAACUGCAUCCGAUACUGGAUGGCUUGAAUUCGGGAGAGGGAUGCAGAAUUCCAGGUGUAGCGGUGAAAUGCGUAGAUAUCUGGAGGAAUACCGGUGGCGAAGGCGGCAUCCUGGACCGGCAUUGACGCUGAGUGAGCGAAAGCUAGGGGAGCAAACGGG
rnacentral:rRNA from 1 species